rnacentral:rRNA from 1 species
UACGUAGGGGGCAAGCGUUGUCCGGAUUUAUUGGGCGUAAAGAGCGUGUAGGCGGCCAGGUAGGUCUGCUGUGAAAACUCGAGGCUUAACCUCGAGAUGUCGGCGGAAACCAUCUGGCUAGAGUCCGGAAGAGGAGAGCGGAAGUCCUGGUGUAGCGGUGAAAUGCGCAGAUAUCAGGAGGAACACCGAUGGCGAAGGCAGGUCUCUGGGCAUUAACUGACGCUGAGGAGCGAAAGCAUGGGGAGCAAACGGGAUAGAAACCCGA